rnacentral:rRNA from 1 species
UGGGGAAUAUUGCACAAUGGGCGCAAGCCUGAUGCAGCCAUGCCGCGUGUGUGAAGAAGGCCUUCGGGUUGUAAAGCACUUUCAGCGAGGAGGAAGGGUAGUGUGUUAAUAGCACAUUGCAUUGACGUUACUCGCAGAAGAAGCACCGGCUAACUCCGUGCCAGCAGCCGCGGUAAUACGGAGGGUGCAAGCGUUAAUCGGAAUUACUGGGCGUAAAGCGCACGCAGGCGGUUUGUUAAGUCAGAUGUGAAAUCCCCGCGCUUAACGUGGGAACUGCAUUUGAAACUGGCAAGCUAGAGUCUUGUAGAGGGGGGUAGAAUUCCCAGGUGUAGCGGUGAAAUGCGUAGAGAUCUGGAGGAAUACCGGUGGCGAAGGCGGCCCCCUGGACA